UAAUUCCUACGGGGGGCAGCAGUGAGGAAUAUUGGUCAAUGGCCGGAAGGCUGAACCAGCCAAGCCGCGUGAGGGAGGAAGGCGCAGAGCGUCGCAGACCUCUUUUGCCGGGGGACAAAAGGCCGGACGGGUCCGGUUCUGAGGGUACCCGGAGAAAAAGCAUCGGCUAACUCCGUGCCAGCAGCCGCGGUAAUACGGAGGAUGCGAGCGUUAUCCGGAUUCAUUGGGUUUAAAGGGUGCGUAGGCGGUCGGAUAAGGUAGAGGUGAAAUCCCGAGGC
rnacentral:rRNA from 1 species